rnacentral:rRNA from 1 species
GACGGAGGGUGCAAGCGUUGUUCGGAAUUACUGGGCGUAAAGCGCGUGUAGGCGGCUCUGCAAGUCAGGUGUGAAAUCCCACGGCUCAACCAUGGAAGUGCACUUGAAACUGCAGGGCUAGAGUCCUGGAGAGGAAGGUGGAAUGCUUGGUGUAGAGGUGAAAUUCGUAGAUAUCAAGCGGAACACCGGUGGCGAAGGCGGCCUUCUGGACAGUGACUGACGCUGAGACGCGAAAGCGUGGGGAGCAAACAGG